rnacentral:tRNA from 1 species
GGGGUUGUGGCUCAGCAGUAGAGCGCUCGCCUGGCACGUGUGAGGCCUUGGGUUUGAUCCUCAGCACCUCA